UACGUAGGGGGCAAGCGUUGUCCGGAAUCAUUGGGCGUAAAGCGCGUGUAGGCGGUCCGGUAAGUCCGCUGUGAAAGUCGAGGGCUCAACCCUCGAAUGCCGGUGGAUACUGUCGGGCUUGAGUACGGGAGAGGCGAGUGGAAUUCCUGGUGUAGCGGUGAAAUGCGCAGAUAUCAGGAGGAACACCGAUUGCGAAGGCAGCUCGCUGGAACGUUACUGACGCUGAGACGCGAAAGCGUGGGGAGCAAACAGG
rnacentral:rRNA from 1 species